AGAGUUUGAUCAUGGCUCAGAUUGAACGCUGGCGGCAUGCUUUACACAUGCAAGUCGAACGGUAACGCGGGGGCAACCCUGGCGACGAGUGGCGAACGGGUGAGUAAUACAUCGGAACAUGUCCUGGAGUGGGGGAUAGCUCGGCGAAAGCCGGAUUAAUACCGCAUACGCUCUGAGGAGGAAAGCGGGGGACUCGUAAGGGCCUCGCGCUGCAGGAGUGGCCGAUGUCGGAUUAGCUAGUUGGUGAGGUAAAGGCUCACCAAGGCGACGAUCCGUAGCUGGUCUGAGAGGAUGAUCAGCCACACUGGGACUGAGACACGGCCCAGACUCCUACGGGAGGCAGCAGUGGGGAAUUUUGGACAAUGGGGGCAACCCUGAUCCAGCCAUGCCGCGUGAGUGAAGAAGGCCUUCGGGUUGUAAAGCUCUUUCGGACGGAACGAAAUGGUUACAGUGAAUAACUGUGAUUGAUGACGGUACCGUAAGAAGAAGCACCGGCUAACUACGUGCCAGCAGCCGCGGUAAUACGUAGGGUGCGAGCGUUAAUCGGAAUUACUGGGCGUAAAGCGUGCGCAGGCGGUUCGCCAAGUCAGGUGUGAAAUCCCCGGGCUUAACCUGGGAAUUGCGCUUUGAAACUAGCGGGCUUGAGUGUGGCAGAGGGGGGUGGAAUUCCCGUGUAGCAGUGAAAUGCGUAGAGAUGUGGAGGAACACCGAUGGCGAAGGCAGCCCCCUGGGUCGACACUGACGCUCAUGCACGAAAGCGUGGGGAGCAAACAGGAUUAGAUACCCUAGUAGUCC
rnacentral:rRNA from 1 species